rnacentral:tRNA from 1 species
AUAGCUCAGGGGUAGAGCACAACCUUGCCAAGGUUGGGGGCACGAGCCUGCAAAGCUCUGAUCCCCGGUUCAAAUCCGGGUGUCACCUCCA